AAACAGAGAAGUGCUUUAGCAAUAAAGAACCCGGUGACAGGUGCUGCAUGGCUGUCGUCAGCUCGUGUCGUGAGAUGUUGGGUUAAGUCCCGCAACGAGCGCAACCCUUGCCCUUAGUUGCCAGCGGGUAAUGCCGGGCACUCUAAGGGGACUGCCCCGGAUAACGGGGAGGAAGGCGGGAUGACGUCAAGUCAGCAUGGCCUUUAUGUCCAGGGCUACACACGUGCUACAAUGGGCGGUACAGAGGGAAGCAAAGCCGCGAGGUGGAGCUAAUCCUUAAAGCCGUCCUCAGUUCGGAUCGCAGGCUGCAACUCGCCUGCGUGAAGUCGGAAUCGCUAGUAAUCGCGGAUCAGCUACGCCGCGGUGAAUACGUUCUCGGGCCUU
rnacentral:rRNA from 1 species